rnacentral:rRNA from 1 species
AAUAAAGAGAACAUGAUGUUGGUUCAGAUCAAAUGCUAUGUAGAAGCAUAACACAUGCAAGUUAUUUUAAUAUUUAUUAAAAUAGCGAUAAGGUGAGUGAUAUAAGAUAAUAAAUUAUCUUAUUCAGAUGUAGGUAUUAGAGUUAAUCUAGCCAUCGAACUGGAGCCGACGAUUAUCGUCACAACGGCCACAUUGAUAUAAUAUCAACUCUUAUUAAGAGCAGCAGUGGGGAAUCUUUGACAAUGGUCUAACGACUGAUCAAGCUAUCUACGAGAAGGAAUUAUUAAAUACUUAUUCUUUAAGAAUAAGUUAAAUAUAUCCAUAUUAUAAAUAUGGAUAUGUAAUAAUAAUAAUAAAGAUAAAAACUAUAAACUUCUAAGUAAUUAUAAUAAUGAUAUAAAUUACGAAAGAGUCCUAACUAAAACAUGUGCCAGCAGCUGCGGUUAGACAUGGAGGGCUAGCAUUGUUCAAAAUGGCUUAAAGGAUCUGUAGAACUUAUAAAUAUAUAAUAUAUAUAUUUAUAUAGAAUAAAUUAAAGGUAAUAAGAAAUAAAGUUAUAGAGAUAAAAUUCAUCGAAAACAUUAUGACUACAAAGAGAUUACUUAAAUUUAUUGACGUUGUGAGAUGAAGGCUACGGUAGCGACAUGGAUUCGAUACCCAUUUAGCUUCGUAGCAGUAAACUAUGAGUACAAUAAUUAGAAAAGUGAAAAUGAAUAGUACUCCGCCUGACUAGUAUCGCUCGCAAGGGUGAAAUACAAGACAUUAGACGGUUGUAGUCCCUAGCAGUGGAACAUGUCAUUUAAUUGGAUGAUCCCCCUUAAACCUUACCAUCUCUUGAAUUAUUAACCGGCGUUACAUCGUUGUCGUCAGUUCAUGCCGUGAGGUAUUAUAUUAAGUUAUUAAAUGAACGUAACCCUUUUUCCCCCUCUAUAUAUUUAUAUAUAGUUAUGGAAAUAUUUAUUAUUUUACGAUACAUAGGAAGUCGAGGUUGAAGACUAAUCAUGAUGACCCUAAUGAGAUGGGCUAUAGACGUGUUACAAUAUUAUUUACAAUUAUAAUAUAUAUACUCAUAACUCUUUUAGAGUUAUUAAUUAUAUUAAUAUAUAUUUAUUUAAAUGAUAAGAAUAUGACAUAGUUUUCUUUUAUGGAUUGUAAUCUGAAAUUCGGUUACAUAAAGGAGGAAUUGCUAGUAAUCGCGAACUAGAGUGUCGCGGUGAAAUUUUUUGCUACUUCGUACUAACCACUUCAUCAACAGCAAGAAAUUUUUAUUUUCCUCUUUUACUUUUUUUUUAAGUUUAAUGAGGUUAAUUGAUAAAAGGACCUGCUGUAAGUUGAAAUACGGGUUCGGUUAGGGGAACCUGAUCGGGAUUUAUAUUUUAU